AGAGCAGAUUUGGAUUUUAAUUUUUUUUCGGAUUUGGAGCGGAUAUAGAUAUUUAUUUCUUUUUUGGAUCUGGAUAUGGAGCGAAAAAUAUGGAUUCAUAACGGAUCUGGAGCAGAUACGGAUCUUGAUUUUUAUUAUGGAUUUAGAUCUGGAGCAGAGUAGAUCCAACCCAUAUCUGCCCCAUUGCCAUCCCUAUGUAUAUGUAAUUAGUCCAACUCAUGGUGCAUUAUUCAUAUAUAUAUUUCAAUAUUUGGGCUCCUAUAAACUCAAAAACAGUUACUCAUAAUUGUCUUAAAGCUCAUUUACCUUUAUAUGAAACAAGCCAAGACUGCCUUUCUCUUCAUUAUCGUUGAUGACAACAUCUUUAGAAGCAGAAAAUUGACAGGUAGUUAUCAUGGAAUCCCUUAAAGAGAGGUCUAUAAACUCAAUGAUAUUAUCUUCUACAAAUGGUUCAUUAGACUUCUUAGUUAUAUUGUCAAUGUACACUAAGGACAACGAGAAGCCCUGCAAAUGUAGCAUAUUGAUAAGUGAGUUCCCAGGACUUGAACGAGAAAAAUUAAAUAAUGUCUCCCUGGCUAUGCCAGCUCGUACGUUAGGGUUAAGAUUAGAGAUUGGGAUACUAUAACUAUCAGCAGUUAUUGACUGCAAAUUAAAAUGUUCGUUCAAGCAUGUUGGGUGAAUCCUCUAAUUAACUUGGAAUGGACUCGAUAGGGAGUUAUGAAGGAUGAGGUACCUUGAUGCUAAUUAAUGUCGUCCGAGAUCCCAGGAAAGUGCAAUGUCCUGCUUGAUGCUAAUGUGGUCAAUGCAACUGAAACCUUCUAUCUGACGUCACCUUAAAUGCAACAUAAUCACCUCAAAUUGGGCUCUGAGUGUUUCUCACAUGCUGUUUUGAGAGAUCUGAAUUCUAUGCACCAUAACAUGAUCAAUGAAAUGGAUUGUAGGACUGGAAAGGUCUGUGGCGGCCACGUUUGGUGUGUUUUUAUUAUCUUAAUUUGUAGGCAAUCCCUGCUUCCUCAAGGUUUGAAACGUAGAUGUUCUUAUACAUUGUCACAUUAUGUGUGGCUGGUAAUCUUGUUUUGAUCAAUAGGAUACAACAUUACACAUAUAUCAUCAUUCAUCCAAAACUUUCUAGCAAAAGUUUGUCAUUGAAAGUUCAUGGCACUACAACAGAAACGAUUUUUAACCGCAGAAAAAAUCUGCCGUCAAAUAGUUAAGAUGGUAUUAAUGGAUGCACUAUUGAGGUCCUGUUUGAGAUUGAGA
rnacentral:lncRNA from 1 species